rnacentral:tRNA from 1 species
GCCGCCGUAGUAUAGCCCGGCCAAGUAUGCGGGCCUCUCGAGAAGGCCCGUGCGCGGGAGACCCGGGUUCAAAUCCCGGCGGCGGCA